AAGUCGUAACAAGGUUUCCGUAGGUGAACCUGCGGAAGGAUCAUUAAAGAAUUAGGCUUCGCGGCCAAGUUCUCACCCUUUGUAUACCGAAACCAUGUCGUUGGCUUGGCCCAUGGCCCUUGCAUUUCUGCGGCCUGCCAGAGGUUAUAAACCCUAGAAUCUCUGCUGUCUGAGUACUAUACAAUAGUUAAAA
rnacentral:misc_RNA from 1 species